rnacentral:tRNA from 1 species
GAGGAUAUAGCUCAGUGGUAGAGUGCUUGUUUAGCAUGCAUGUGGUCCUGGGUUCAAUCCCCAAUGUCUCCA